UACGUAGGGGGCAAGCGUUGUCCGGAUUUAUUGGGCGUAAAGAGCGUGUAGGCGGCCAGUUAGGUCCGUUGUGAAAACUCGAGGCUCAACCUCGAGACGCCGAUGGAAACCAACUGGCUAGAGUCCGGAAGAGGAGAGUGGAAUUCCUGGUGUAGCGGUGAAAUGCGCAGAUAUCAGGAAGAACACCCGUGGCGAAGGCGGCUCUCUGGGACGGUACUGACGCUGAGACGCGAAAGCGUGGGGAGCGAACAGG
rnacentral:rRNA from 1 species